UACGUAGGUGGCAAGCGUUGUCCGGAUUUAUUGGGUUUAAAGGGUGCGUAGGCGGCUUUGUAAGUCAGUGGUGAAAUAUGGCAGCUCAACUGUCAGGGUGCCAUUGAUACUGCAGAGCUUGAGUACAGAUGAGGUAGGCGGAAUUGACGGUGUAGCGGUGAAAUGCUUAGAUAUCGUCAAGAACACCGAUAGCGAAGGCAGCUUACUUGGCUGUAACUGACGCUGAGGCACGAAAGUGUGGGGAUCAAACAGG
rnacentral:rRNA from 1 species